rnacentral:rRNA from 1 species
CGAGUCGCAAGACCGCGAGGUUUAGCAAAUCUCUUAAAGCCGUUCUCAGUUCGGAUUGUAGGCUGCAACUCGCCUACAUGAAGUCGGAAUCGCUAGUAAUCGCGGAUCAGCAUGCCGCGGUGAAUACGUUCCCGGGCCUUGUACACACCGCCCGUCACACCAUGAGAGUUUGUAACACCCAAAGCCGGUGGGGUAACCUUUUGGAGCCAGCCGUCUAAGGUGGGACAGAUGAUUGGGGUGAAGUCGUAACAAGGUAUC